GAUGAACGCUAGCGACAGGCUUAACACAUGCAAGUCGAGGGGCAGCAUGAUUUGUAGCAAUACAGAUUGAUGGCGACCGGCGCACGGGUGAGUAACGCGUAUGCAACUUACCUAUCAGAGGGGGAUAGCCCGGCGAAAGUCGGAUUAAUACCCCAUAAAACAGGGGUCCCGCAUGGGAAUAUUGUUAAAGAUUCAUCGCUGAUAGAUAGGCAUGCGUUCCAUUAGGCAGUUGGCGGGGUAACGGCCCACCAAACCGACGAUGGAUAGGGGUUCUGAGAGGAAGGUCCCCCACAUUGGUACUGAGACACGGGACCAAAACUCCUACGGGAGGCAGCAGUGAGG
rnacentral:rRNA from 1 species